rnacentral:sRNA from 1 species
CAACUCUUGAGUGGGUGACGUCCGUCAACCCCCCCCACCACCCCCUAUCUCUCCCUCUGUCUGGUCCCACCCAUUGAAAUCCACCACCAUCACUCAUUAUCAUGCCCAUUAGGCUCGACACAAAUCCCUCGACGGGUAUUGGGCCGCUCCGACAGGCCCCCUCUUCGGAUCUUCGUGUCCCUUCGGAGACCGGCUGAUGUCUGUCGAGAGGUUUGUGUCGAGCCAAGAAGUCGAGCCUGCUAUAGUUUGGCUAUAGUCCGCUGUCCAUUCGGCUAUUGGUUCGGCAAGCGAUCGUAGAUAGCCGACGACUUCCAAAAAGUCAUUCGCAGCAGGCUUGCUGGCGUGAGCAUUAUCCCUUCUUGAUCAUCCUGAUCAGCUCGGCCGAUCAAGUCAUCACUCAAACACUCAUUCAACAGCUUUACUCCGCCGAUAUAGCCAGUACCACGUUUCCUUCAUGUCUUCAUAUCUUGAUCUCCACUUUUCCCGACCACUUCAAGAACUGGGAAUAGUAGCCUUCAUUGGCUUUCUGAACGGCUCUAAACGGGCUGUUAUUGGUACAGCUAAGAGGUGAUCUCGAUGAUAUUAUGGGACAAACAUACUCUACUUAUAUUAUUACUAUUGCUGGUGCUGAAUUUGCUAUUGGUCUUGGUAUUCUAGUAGUUUAUUAUAGACUACGAGGAGUAUAGGGUAUGGGAUGGAUUACAGAGCAGAGUUUCAUUGCCAUCUGCUCCUUCUCCUUUGCCACGCACGGUCCCAACCUUACCCAAACCCAAGGCGCUGCCCUUCGAUCCAUCCCCUCCGCCGGCCAGUUGAUCGGCCGUCCGCUUUGAGGUUACUUUCUUGAUGCUGGCGGACGUAUUAAUCUCGACGCCGCAUGCUACUUCAAGCUGCGGUAUCUCCUUGCUCUGCAUCUGGCUCCCUGCAAGAAGUUUUGGCAUGCUCUUCUUUAACGCUAUUGUGCAAGGAUGACAGGGGGGACGAUUUGGAGCGCUGCAAUACCUGUGGUAGAGGAAAUGGUAGGCGUGAAAGAUCUGGCCAAUGCUCUUAGCAUAUUCUGGUUAAGUCUUGUGGUACCAUCUUUAAUGGGUCAGCCGAUAACCAUCGCACUCGGACUAUUCCACGAGCCGUUACGGAAAAGCAGGAGCGGGUGCUUAUCUUAUCUCGAUUGGGUUCUGUGGUGGAUUAGGCGUUUUAUGUGCUUUACAAAGGAGCUGGGAGGUCUUCCAGAAGACUCAAAAAGAGGAGGGUGACUGACUGUGCAUCUUAAGCAUUGAUAAUCUCCAAUUGUCCAAGAAGUAAACUAUCGUAUCAUAAUACGUACCAUAAAGAGUUUUCACUGGCAUAUUUGAAUGGGACAUAAAAUGCAUAUUAU